rnacentral:rRNA from 1 species
GACGAACGCUGGCGGCGUGCUUAACACAUGCAAGUCGAACGGAAAGGCCCUGCUUGCAGGGUACUCGAGUGGCGAACGGGUGAGUAACACGUGGGUGAUCUGCCCUGCACUUCGGGAUAAGCCUGGGAAACUGGGUCUAAUACCGGAUAGGAGCCAUUUUUAGUGUGAUGGUUGGAAAGUUUUUUCGGUGUAGGAUGAGCUCGCGGCCUAUCAGCUUGUUGGUGGGGUAAUGGCCUACCAAGGCGGCGACGGGUAGCCGGCCUGAGAGGGUGGACGGCCACACUGGGACUGAGAUACGGCCCAGACUCCUACGGGAGGCAGCAGUGGGGAAUCUUGCACAAUGGGCGCAAGCCUGAUGCAGCGACGCCGCGUGGGGGAUGACGGCCUUCGGGUUGUAAACUCCUUUCGCUAGGGACGAAGCUUUUUGUGACGGUACCUAGAUAAGAAGCACCGGCUAACUACGUG